UUUACAAUCUGAACUUGAAAGCUUGGCAAGCCAGUGGGACAUGCUGAAGCAUCCACCACUAGAUGAGUACACAUCCCGUACUGUGGAGGAAGGACCUGGGGGAGACCCAGAGGAGAUGAAAAUUGUCAGCAAAGCCUGUGCCUCAUGUAAAAACUGCCCCCUGUGUUGCUACCAGAUUCUCCUCAGAUUCAACCUGCUCACAGACGCAUACCCUCUUCUUUCUCUGUCCUACAAAUAUCUGCUGACACUCUCAGUGACACAGGUAGCCUGUGAAAGAUCAUUUUCAACUUUGAAAUUCGUCAAGAGCAGGCUGAGAAGCAGCUUAUCUGCUGGUAAAUUGGAGGCCUUCAUGCUGAUGUCAACAGAAAAGGACAUCCUCAUGGGAUUGGACACAGACAGUGUCAUAGACAGAGUGGCCGAAAAAAGUGAACUGCUUCGGAAGCUCCUACUCUACUAAAGUAAGACAAUAUUUUUAAUAUCAGUUUAGUUUUGUUUCUCUUCAAAAUUACCUAUACUUGAUAGUAAGGAAUAAAAGGCAUAACACUUUCAUUGUUGAUUGUCUUCUUUUUCCUUUUAGGAAGCCUCUGUCUCAGGUUGUGGCGACGACUUGCUUUCACAAAGGUUCCAUUUCAGGAUUGUGAGAUUGGAUUGUGAGGAAUGUUUUUGGAGAUCGACAGACGUUUGGUUUCUGGGGCUUCACAUGUACAUAGUUCUUACUGGAUUGACGGGGUUUGUGAGCGUUGGUUCCGGUGAAGUCAGCUAUUCACCAAGUUUCAUGAGUGUUUGAUGGACUGUAGUCGGUGUAGACAGACAAGGCAAUGCACCAAGUUUCAUGAGUGUUUGAUUGACUGUAGUGUGUGUGCCCAAAGAGCUGAUUGGAACUGAAGAGCGCAGACAAGGCUAUGCACCAAGAGCUGAUUGCACUGAAGAGAGCAGAUAAGGCCAGUUCAUCGGCAGCUGCCAGGGGCUCUCUUCUCUCAACGUCCAGGUUUUCUGCCAGCUAUCAUGACAAAUUUAUAGAUUCAUUUUAAAUAAACAAUUGAGUGUGAAGUCACUGCACAUUUCCUGGU